UGGUGGAUGUAAGGAAGGUGCUCUGUUCUGAAGAUGCUUUCAGCUGUGGACAGGGGAGGUGAGAGGGGGAUGUGAGGGACAAGGUUUUUUACAGAGAGAGUGGUGGAUGUGAGGAAGGUGCUCUGUUCUGAAGAUGUUUUCAGCUGUGGACAGGGGAGGUGAGAGGGGGAUGUGAGGGGCAAGGUUUUUUACAGAGAGUGGUGGGUGUGAGGAAGGUGCUCUGUUCUGAAGAAGUUUUCAGCUGUGGACAGGGGAGGUGAGAGGGGGAUGUGAGGGGCAAGGUUUUUUACUGAGAGAGUGGUGGAUGUGAGGAAGGUGCUCUGUUCUGAAGAAGUUUUCAGCUGUGGACAGGGGAGGUGAGAGGGGGAUGUGAGGGGCAAGGUUUUUUACAGAGAGUGGUGGAUGUGAGGAAGGUGCUCCGUUCUGAAGAUGCUUUCAGCUGUGGACAGGGGAGGUGAGAGGGUGAUGUGAGGGACAAGGUUUUUUACAGAGAGAGUGGUGGAUGUGAGGAAGGUGCUCUGUUCUGAAGAUGUUUUCAGCUGUGGACAGGGGAGGUGAGAGGGGGAUGUGAGGGGCAAGGUUUUUUACUGAGAGAGUGGUGGAUGUGAGGAAGGUGCUCUGUUCUGAAGAAGUUUUCAGCUGUGGACAGGGGAGGUGAGAGGGGGAUGUGAGGGGCAAGGUUUUUUACAGAGAGUGGUGGAUGUGAGGAAGGUGCUCUGUUCUGAAGAAGUUUUCAGCUGUGGACAGGGGAGGUGAGAGGGGGAUGUGAGGGGCAAGGUUUUUUACAGAGAGUGGUGGAUGUGAGGAAGGUGCUCUGUUCUGAAGAUGCUUUCAGCUGUGGACAGGGGAGGUGAGAGGGGGAUGUGAGGGGCAAGGUUUUUUACUGAGAGAGUGGUGGAUGUGAGGAAGGUGCUCUGUACUGAAGAUGUUUUCAGCUGUGGACAGGGGAGGUGAGAGGGGGAUGUGAGGGGCAAGGUUUUUUACAGAGAGUGGUGGAUGUGAGGAAGGUGCUCUGUUCUGAAGAUGCUUUCAGCUGUGGACAGGGGAGGUGAGAGGGGGAUGUGAGGGACAAGGUUUUUUACAGAGAGUGGUGGAUGUGAGGAAGGUGCUCUGUUCUGAAGAUGCUUUCAGCUGUGGACAGGGGAGGUGAGAGGGGGAUGUGAGGGGCAAGGUUUUUUACUGAGAGAGUGGUGGAUGUGAGGAAGGUGCUCUGUACUGAAGAUGUUUUCAGCUGUGGACAGGGGAGGUGAGAGGGGGAUGUGAGGGGCAAGGUUUUUUACAGAGAGUGGUGGAUGUGAGGAAGGUGCUCUGUUCUGAAGAAGUUUUCAGCUGUGGACAGGGGAGGUGAGAGGGGGAUGUGAGGGGCAAGGUUUUUUACAGAGAGUGGUGGAUGUGAGGAAGGUGCUCUGUUCUGAAGAAGUUUUCAGCUGUGGACAGGGGAGGUGAGAGGGGGAUGUGAGGGGCAAGGUUUUUUACAGAGAGUGGUGGAUGUGAGGAUGGUGCUCUGUUCUGAAGAUGCUUUCAGCUGUGGACAGGGGAGGUGAGAGGGGGAUGUGAGGGGCAAGGUUUUUUACUGAGAGAGUGGUGGAUGUGAGGAAGGUGCUCUGUUCUGAAGAUGCUUUCAGCUGUGGACAGGGGAGGUGAGAGGGGGAUGUGAGGGGCAAGGUUUUUUACAGAGAGUGGUGGAUGUGAGGAAGGUGCUCUGUUCUGAAGAUGCUUUCAGCUGUGGACAGGGGAGGUGAGAGGGGGAUGUGAGGGGCAAGGUUUUUUACAGAGAGUGGUGGAUGUGAGGAAGGUGCUCUGUACUGAAGAUGUUUUCAGCUGUGGACAGGGGAGGUGAGAGGGGGAUGUGAGGGGCAAGGUUUUUUACUGAGAGAGUGGUGGAUAUGAGGAAGGUGCUCUGUUCUGAAGAUGUUUUCAGCUGUGGACAGGGGAGGUGAGAGGGGGAUGUGAGGGGCAAGGUUUUUUACAGAGAGUGGUGGAUGUGAGGAAGGUGCUCUGUUCUGAAGAUGCUUUCAGCUGUGGACAGGGGAGGUGAGAGGGGGAUGUGAGGGACAAGGUUUUUUACAGAGAGUGGUGGAUGUGAGGAAGGUGCUCUGUUCUGAAGAAGUUUUCAGCUGUGGACAGGGGAGGUGAGAGGGGGAUGUGAGGGGCAAGGUUUUUUACUGAGAGAGUGGUGGAUGUGAGGAAGGUGCUCUGUUCUGAAGAAGUUUUCAGCUGUGGACAGGGGAGGUGAGAGGGGGAUGUGAGGGGCAAGGUUUUUUACUGAGAGAGUGGUGGAUGUGAGGAAGGUGCUCUGUUCUGAAGAAGUUUUCAGCUGUGGACAGGGGAGGUGAGAGGGUGAUGUGAGGGGCAAGGUUUUUUACAGAGAGUGGUGGAUGUGAGGAAGGUGCUCUGUUCUGAAGAAGUUUUCAGCUGUGGACAGGGGAGGUGAGAGGGGGAUGUGAGGGGCAAGGUUUUUUACAGAGAGUGGUGGAUGUGAGGAAGGUGCUCUGUUCUGAAGAAGUUUUCAGCUGUGGACAGGGGAGGUGAGAGGGGGAUGUGAGGGGCAAGGUUUUUUACAGAGAGUGGUGGAUGUGAGGAAGGUGCUCUGUUCUGAAGAUGCUUUCAGCUGUGGACAGGGGAGGUGAGAGGGGGAUGUGAGGGGCAAGGUUUUUUACUGAGAGAGUGGUGGAUGUGAGGAAGGUGCUCUGUUCUGAAGAAGUUUUCAGCUGUGGACAGGGGAGGUGAGAGGGGGAUGUGAGGGGUAAGGUUUUUUACAGAGAGUGGUGGAUGUGAGGAAGGUGCUCUGUUCUGAAGAUGCUUUCAGCUGUGGACAGGGGAGGUGAGAGGGGGAUGUGAGGGGCAAGGUUUUUUACUGAGAGAGUGGUGGAUGUGAGGAAGGUGCUCUGUUCUGAAGAUGUUUUCAGCUGUGGACAGGGGAGGUGAGAGGGGGAUGUGAGGGGCAAGGUUUUUUACAGAGAGUGGUGGAUGUGAGGAAGGUGCUCUGUUCUGAAGAUGCUUUCAGCUGUGGACAGGGGAGGUGAGAGGGGGAUGUGAGGGGCAAGGUUUUUUACAGAGAGUGGUGGAUGUGAGGAAGGUGCUCUGUUCUGAAGAUGUUUUCAGCUGUGGACAGGGGAGGUGAGAGGGGGAUGUGAGGGGCAAGGUUUUUUACAGAGAGUGGUGGAUGUGAGGAAGGUGCUCUGUUCUGAAGAAGUUUUCAGCUGUGGACAGGGGAGGUGAGAGGGGGAUGUGAGGGGCAAGGUUUUUUACAGAGAGUGGUGGAUGUGAGGAAGGUGCUCUGUUCUGAAGAUGCUUUCAGCUGUGGACAGGGGAGGUGAGAGGGGGAUGUGAGGGGCAAGGUUUUUUACAGAGAGAGUGGUGGAUGUGAGGAAGGUGCUCUGUUCUGAAGAUGCUUUCAGCUGUGGACAGGGGAGGUGAGAGGGGGAUGUGAGGGGCAAGGUUUUUUACAGAGAGUGGUGGAUGUGAGGAAGGUGCUCUGUUCUGAAGAUGUUUUCAGCUGUGGACAGGGGAGGUGAGAGGGGGAUGUGAGGGGCAAGGUUUUUUACAGAGAGUGGUGGAUGUGAGGAAUGUGCUCUGUUCUGAAGAUGUUUUCAGCUGUGGACAGGGGAGGUGAGAGGGGGAUGUGAGGGGUAAGGUUUUUUACAGAGAGUGGUGGAUGUGAGGAAGGUGCUCUGUUCUGAAGAUGCUUUCAGCUGUGGACAGGGGAGGUGAGAGGGGGGAUGUGAGGGGCAAGGUUUUUUACAGAGAGUGGUGGAUGUGAGGAAGGUGCUCUGUUCUGAAAAUGUUUUCAGCUGUGGACAGGGGAGGUGAGAGGGGGAUGUGAGGGGUAAGGUUUUUUACUGAGAGAGUGGUGGAUGUGAGGAAGGUGCUCUGUUCUGAAGAAGUUUUCAGCUGUGGACAGGGGAGGUGAGAGGGGGAUGUGAGGGACAAGGUUUUUUACAGAGAGUGGUGGAUGUGAGGAAGGUGCUCUGUUCUGAAGAUGCUUUCAGCUGUGGACAGGGGAGGUGAGAGGGGGAUGUGAGGGACAAGGUUUUUUACAGAGAGAGUGGUGGAUGUGAGGAAGGUGCUCUGUUCUGAAGAAGUUUUCAGCUGUGGACAGGGGAGGUGAGAGGGGGAUGUGAGGGACAAGGUUUUUUACAGAGAGUGGUGGAUGUGAGGAAGGUGCUCUGUUCUGAAGAAGUUUUCAGCUGUGGACAGGGGAGGUGAGAGGGGGAUGUGAGGGGCAAGGUUUUUUACAGAGAGUGGUGGAUGUGAGGAAGCUGCUCUGUUCUGAAGAAGUUUUCAGCUGUGGACAGGGGAGGUGAGAGGGGGGAUGUGAGGGGCAAGGUUUUUUACUGAGAGAGUGGUGGAUGUGAGGAAGGUGCUCUGUUCUGAAGAAGUUUUCAGCUGUGGACAGGGGAGGUGAGAGGGGGAUGUGAGGGACAAGGUUUUUUACUGAGAGAGUGGUGGAUGUGAGGAAGGUGCUCUGUUCUGAAGAAGUUUUCAGCUGUGGACAGGGGAGGUGAGAGGGGGAUGUGAGGGGCAAGGUUUUUUUACAGAGAGUGGUGGAUGUGAGGAAGGUGCUCUGUUCUGAAGAAGUUUUCAGCUGUGGACAGGGGAGGUGAGAGGGGGAUGUGAGGGGCAAGGUUUUUUACAGAGAGUGGUGGAUGUGAGGAAGGUGCUCUGUUCUGAAGAAGUUUUCAGCUGUGGACAGGGGAGGUGAGAGGGGGAUGUGAGGGCAAGGUUUUUUACAGAGAGUGGUGGAUGUGAGGAAGGUGCUCUGUUCUGAAGAUGCUUUCAGCUGUGGACAGGGGAGGUGAGAGGGGGAUGUGAGGGCAAGGUUUUUUACAGAGAGUGGUGGAUGUGAGGAAGGUGCUCUGUUCUGAAGAAGUUUUCAGCUGUGGACAGGGGAGGUGAGAGGGGGAUGUGAGGGCAAGGUUUUUUACAGAGAGUGGUGGAUGUGAGGAAGGUGCUCUGUUCUGAAGAAGUUUUCAGCUGUGGACAGGGGAGGUGAGAGGGGGAUGUGAGGGGCAAGGUUUUUUACUGAGAGAGUGGUGGAUGUGAGGAAGGUGCUCUGUUCUGAAGAAGUUUUCAGCUGUGGACAGGGGAGGUGAGAGGGGGAUGUGAGGGGCAAGGUUUUUUACAGAGAGUGGUGGAUGUGAGGAAGGUGCUCUGUUCUGAAGAAGUUUUCAGCUGUGGACAGGGGAGGUGAGAGGGGGAUGUGAGGGGUACGGUUUUUUACAGAGAGUGGUGGAUGUGAGGAAGGUGCUCUGUUCUGAAGAUGUUUUCAGCUGUGGACAGGGGAGGUGAGAGGGGGAUGUGAGGGGCAAGGUUUUUUACAGAGAGUGGUGGAUGUGAGGAAGGUGCUCUGUUCUGAAGAAGUUUUCAGCUGUGGACAGGGGAGGUGAGAGGGGGAUGUGAGGGGCAAGGUUUUUUACAGAGAGUGGUGGAUGUGAGGAAGGUGCUCUGUUCUGAAGAAGUUUUCAGCUGUGGACAGGGGAGGUGAGAGGGGGAUGUGAGGGACAAGGUUUUUUACAGAGAGUGGUGGAUGUGAGGAAGGUGCUCUGUUCUGAAGAUGUUUUCAGCUGUGGACAGGGGAGGUGAGAGGGGGAUGUGAGGGGCAAGGUUUUUUACAGAGAGUGGUGGAUGUGAGGAAGGUGCUCUGUUCUGAAGAUGCUUUCAGCUGUGGACAGGGGAGGUGAGAGGGGGAUGUGAGGGGCAAGGUUUUUUACAGAGAGUGGUGGAUGUGAGGAAGGUGCUCUGUUCUGAAGAUGCUUUCAGCUGUGGACAGGGGAGGUGAGAGGGGGAUGUGAGGGGCAAGGUUUUUUACUGAGAGAGUGGUGGAUGUGAGGAAGGUGCUCUGUUCUGAAGAAGUUUUCAGCUGUGGACAGGGGAGGUGAGAGGGGGAUGUGAGGGGCAAGGUUUUUUACAGAGAGUGGUGGAUGUGAGGAAGGUGCUCUGUUCUGAAGAAGUUUUCAGCUGUGGACAGGGGAGGUGAGAGGGGGAUGUGAGGGGCAAGGUUUUUUACAGAGAGAGUGGUGGAUGUGAGGAAGGUGCUCUGUUCUGAAGAAGUUUUCACCUGUGGACAGGGGAGGUGAGAGGGGGAUGUGAGGGGCAAGGUUUUUUACUGAGAGAGUGGUGGAUGUGAGGAAGGUGCUCUGUUCUGAAGAUGCUUUCAGCUGUGGACAGGGGAGGUGAGAGGGGGAUGUGAGGGGCAAGGUUUUUUACUGAGAGAGUGGUGGAUGUGAGGGAGGUGCUCUGUUCUGAAGAAGUUUUCAGCUGUGGACAGGGGAGGUGAGAGGGGGAUGUGAGGGGUAAGGUUUUUUACAGAGAGAGUGGUGGAUGUGAGGAAGGUGCUCUGUUCUGAAGAAGUUUUCAGCUGUGGACAGGGGAGGUGACAGGGGGAUGUGAGGGGUAAGGUUUUUUACUGAGAGAGUGGUGGAUGUGAGGGAGGUGCUCUGUUCUGAAGAAGUUUUCAGCUGUGGACAGGGGAGGUGAGAGGGGGAUGUGAGGGGCAAGGUUUUUUACUGAGAGAGUGGUGGAUGUGAGGAAGGUGCUCUGUUCUGAAGAAGUUUUCAGCUGUGGACAGGGGAGGUGAGAGGGGGAUGUGAGGGGCAAGGUUUUUUACUGAGAGAGUGGUGGAUGUGAGGAAGGUGCUCUGUUCUGAAGAAGUUUUCAGCUGUGGACAGGGGAGGUGAGAGGGGGAUGUGAGGGACAAGGUUUUUUACAGAGAGAGUGGUGGAUGUGAGGAAGGUGCUCUGUUCUGAAGAUGCUUUCAGCUGUGGACAGGGGAGGUGAGAGGGGGAUGUGAGGGGCAAGGUUUUUUACAGAGAGUGGUGGAUGUGAGGAAGGUGCUCUGUUCUGAAGAAGUUUUCAGCUGUGGACAGGGGAGGUGACAGGGGGAUGUGAGGGGCAAGGUUUUUUACAGAGAGAGUGGUGGAUGUGAGGAAGGUGCUCUGUUCUGAAGAAGUUUUCAGCUGUGGACAGGGGAGGUGAGAGGGGGAUGUGAGGGGCAAGGUUUUUUACU